rnacentral:lncRNA from 10 species
CAACAUGACUCAGCGCCUGCGCGGGUGAGUCUGCCUUGGUCAGGUUUCUUGUUUACAAAGUUGCUUUUUUCUCUGUUUCCGUGCUGUGCUCCCUGGAAGGAAGUCUCCAUGUGCAGCCCACACUGAGGAAAGAGAGGGACUCAGCUGGUGCAACCCUUCCCCUUUCCUCUUUCUCCUUGCUUUGAACAUGGAUCUAAUGGCAGGAGCUAAGGCAGCCAUCUUGUGACCAUGAGGAAAGAGACUGACAGCAGUUUCAGCCGGGCAUGCCUCAGCCAUUGAACAGCACCUUAGAUUUCUCACGUGAGAAAAAUAAAUUCCUGUUUGUUUAAAUCACUGAAGUAGUUUUUUG